AAGUCGAGCAGUAGAGAGAAGCUUGCUUCUCUUGAGAGCGGCGGACGGGUGAGUAAUGCCUAGGAAUCUGCCUGGUAGUGGGGGAUAACGCUCGGAAACGGACGCUAAUACCGCAUACGUCCUACGGGAGAAAGCAGGGGACCUUCGGGCCUUGCGCUAUCAGAUGAGCCUAGGUCGGAUUAGCUAGUUGGUGAGGUAAUGGCUCACCAAGGCGACGAUCCGUAACUGGUCUGAGAGGAUGAUCAGUCACACUGGAACUGAAACACGGUCCAGACUCCUACGGGAGGCAGCAGUGGGGAAUAUUGGACAAUGGGCGAAAGCCUGAUCCAGCCAUGCCGCGUGUGUGAAGAAGGUCUUCGGAUUGUAAAGCACUUUAAGUUGGGAGGAAGGGCAGUAAAUUAAUACUUUGCUGUUUUGACGUUACCGACAGAAUAAGCACCGGCUAACUCUGUGCCAGCAGCCGCGGUAAUACAGAGGGUGCAAGCGUUAAUCGGAAUUACUGGGCGUAAAGCGCGCGUAGGUGGUUCGUUAAGUUGGAUGUGAAAUCCCCGGGCUCAACCUGGGAACUGCAUUCAAAACUGUCGAGCUAGAGUGUGGUACAGGGUGGUGGAAUUUCCUGUGUAGCGGUGAAAUGCGUAGAUAUAGGAAGGAACACCAGUGGCGAAAGCGACCACCUGGACUGAUACUGACACUGAGGUGC
rnacentral:rRNA from 1 species